GGUACGCAGCAUCAUCUGGAUAUGUGUUCAGCAAAAGUUCAACGUUCACCUUCUACUACCAUGUCUGUCAAGCCGUAAACGCAUACAAUUUGAUGUAUACGUUCGAAUGUACUUGUGGUAGCUAGUUAACGAACGACAGAGCAGCGGGAAAUAUUGUAGUGUGUGUCGUCCGGCUAGAUCUCAAAUGUUAUCAUGGCCAAAUUAACUACAUUAUUUGGUUUGACUUAACUUACAUGUUAUUUGUAUUGUUAUUUAGGUUAACUAGCUGUGGCUAAACUUCGCGGAUGUUGGCUUUAAAAAAAACGAACCAUUGUUUCAGUUUUCAAUCCAACUAGACUACUUUCAAGGAUUUGGCAACUCUCCAGACUUGGAUGCUCUGAAGACGGAUCAGCCCCGGGUGGACAUCCUAGGGAGGUUUAUGGAGGCGCUGGGCGUCCGGACAACAGUGCUGCUGAGCCCAUCUAUGACCGGCCACUGCUCCAUCCCCUUCCUCCAUCCCCUCCCCCCUUCCUCACGAAACACGGUGCCCAGCUCCACGGCUUCAUCCCCAUAGACCCUGUAGGAGCCCGCAACUAACCCUCAGCAGUACCAGUGCAUCCAGGCGAGAACUGUAAUACUGGAUGCCUGGACUCAUACUCUGUGUUUGGAGCACUGGACACCAACCUGGGGGCCCAGUCCCACAAGAACCUCAUGCAGCUCAUACACCACUCAGUCCUGAAAAUGGAUGGGUGCACGCCCUGCCUGCUACAUGGAUAAAACUUGGGAGUUCCACCAAUCACUGUUAGACUUUCUCAGCAAACUGGAGUGAGUGGAGAAGAACCUUUGUGGGAAAGAAGAGCAAUACAGGGUUGUGUUUGCAUGGAAGCGGAGGAGUGUUAUGCAAUUCAGAUACAAGGAAAGUAGUCCUCUGGGAUAAUAGGGCAAAGGUUGCUUUGAUAUGAUAAAUUACCCCCCUAGUCACCCUGGUGGAGUUGCUUCCAUUACGAUGCUUUUGUUAACAUACCGUUCAAUAGAAAGCAACUCUAAAAUAAGUUUGCUCUUUAAAAGGCAAGGAGAACCCUUGAAUAGGUUUGAGUUGAGCUUCUAGUACAGUAUAUGCACAUUCAAAGUAUUUAUUGUCCUACAGGCACCAUUAUUGGUUCCAUGAUAAAAAUCAGUUGACAUGAUGAUAAAGAGGCUAAAAGAGAGCUAGGGAGAUAGUCCCAGGGUCGUAUUCAUAAGUGCACACCAUAGCAAAAUGUUUUGCAACAGAAAACUAAAACUAGCGUGGGUCCCGUGUGAUCAUUCCAAUUAAGGUGCUGUAUCUACUAAAUCUGUGGAAAGCUGUUAAAACCAGAAAAGUAUACUCCGUUCCAUUUUUUUGUUAUGACAAUGACCACUACUUAUUUUAUAAUGACAUUGUACAUAAUAGGUGAUUUUGUUUUUCAUUGGAUAACAAAUAAAAGCCUCAAAAGUUAAUUGGCUU